rnacentral:rRNA from 1 species
CCCUUAGAUGUUCUGGGCCGCACGCGCGCUACACUGACGAUGGCAACGAGUUUUUCCUUCGCCGAAAGGUGUGGGUAAUCUUUUGAAACAUCGUCGUGCUGGGGAUAGAUCAUUGCAAUUUUUGAUCUUGAACGAGGAAUUCCUAGUAAGCGCAAGUCAUCAGCUCGCGUUGAUUACGUCCCUGCCCUUUGUACACACCGCCCGUCGCUACUACCGAUUGAAUGGUUUAGUGAGGACUCCUGAUUGGCGCCGCCGCCCCGGCAACGGAGCAGCGGACUGCCGAAAAGUUGUUCAAACUUGAUCAUUUAGAGGAAGUAAAAGUCGUAACA